rnacentral:rRNA from 1 species
AGUGAACGCUGGCGGUAGGCCUAACACAUGCAAGUCGAACGGCAGCACAGUAAGAGCUUGCUCUUACGGGUGGCGAGUGGCGGACGGGUGGGGAAUACAUCGGAAUCUACUUUUUCGUGGGGGUUAACGUAGGGAAACUUACGCUAAUACCGCAUACGACCUACGGGUGAAAGUAGGGGAUCUUCGGACCUUGCGCGAUUGAAUGAGCCGAUGUCGGAUUAGCUAGUUGGCGGGGUAAAGGCCCACCAAGGCGACGAUCCGUAGCUGGUCUGAGAGGAUGAUCAGCCACACUGGAACUGAGACACGGUCCAGACUCCUACGGGAGGCAGCAGUGGGGAAUAUUGGACAAUGGGCGCAAGCCUGAUCCAGCCAUACCGCGUGGGUGAAGAAGGCCUUCGGGUUGUAAAGCCCUUUUGUUGGGAAAGAAAAGCAGCAGGUUAAUACCCCGCUGUUCUGACGGUACCCAAAGAAUAAGCACCGGCUAACUUCGUG